GUUGGGAGAUGAUGAUAAAAUUUAAACAAAUCACCAGAGGCAUCUGCUCUGCUGACAAUCUAUUUUGCACGUCAGUCUGAUCCCAUU